UGGGGAAUAUUGGACAAUGGGCGCAAGCCUGAUCCAGCCAUGCCGCGUGUGUGAAGAAGGCCUUCGGGUUGUAAAGCACUUUCAGCGAGGAGGAAGGGUGGUGUGUUAAUAGCACAUCAUUUUGACGUUACUCGCAGAAGAAGCACCGGCUAACUCUGUGCCAGCAGCCGCGGUAAUACAGAGGGUGCAAGCGUUAAUCGGAAUUACUGGGCGUAAAGCGCACGUAGGCGGUUUUUUAAGUCAGAUGUGAAAGCCCCGGGCUCAACCUGGGAAUUGCAUUUGAAACUGGGGAACUAGAGUGUGUGAGAGGGGGGUAGAAUUCCAAGUGUAGCGGUGAAAUGCGUAGAGAUUUGGAGGAAUACCAGUGGCGAAGGCGGCCCCCUGGCACAACACUGACGCU
rnacentral:rRNA from 1 species